CUCCAUUUUAUCCUCACAACAACCCUGCAAGGUAGGUUAGGCUGAGCACGUCUGCCCGGCCCACAGUCCCCAAGCAAACGUCCAUGGCAGAGUGGGGAUUUCAAUCUGGGUCUCCCAGAUCCUAGUCCAACACUUUAACCACUACAUCAU